UUCCUAAAUUUACUUUAAUAACAAUGCUUAUUUACGAGAGAUAAAUUUUUAAAUAAAAUAGAUAACUGCGGUUAUCGACUGAAAUAUCGAUAUUAGAGAGAACCCGUUUAUUAUUUGAGAGAGAGAGAGUAGGAUAAAACUCGUUAGAACCGUUCUUUGAAAAUAACAAAUGGCCGACGUCUUAAGUUGUCAUCAAACUCGUUGAAGAAAAAUAGAAUUAAAUAAAUGAACGUUAUUCAAGAAAACUAAUAAAUCUUUACCCACAAGUUAUGUUAAAUAAUAAAAUAAAAUUAUCAUCCGACUCACUGUGAAAAAGAAAGGAUUGGAGUUCAAUGUGGUAUCUGGAUUAUGGAUUGUCUCUUGUGUUCGGGGCACUAACUAAUUUUCUGGAUUGUCUACAGGAUUCUUCUUACGGGAAAUUGAACUGCUUGUUCUUCGGAAAUAGGGUCUUGGAUGAUCUCGAAGAAGUAUCAGUAGUUCUCGGAAUAGGUUGUAGGAUGAUUCUCUUUUUAUUUUAAUAUCACAUACAUUGGAGUACACGCCAAAUUUCAACAAUGAGUAAAGUUA